GACGAACGCUGGCGGCGUGCUUAACACAUGCAAGUCGAACGGAAAGGCCCUGCUUUUGUGGGGUGCUCGAGUGGCGAACGGGUGAGUAACACGUGAGUAACCUGCCCUUGACUUUGGGAUAACUUCAGGAAACUGGGGCUAACACCGGAUAGGAUCUCUUGCUGCAGGGGGGGGGUUGGAAAGUUACGGCGGUUGGGGAUGGACUCGCGGCUUAUCAGCUUGUUGGUGGGGUAGUGGCUUACCAAGGCUUUGACGGGUAGCCGGCCUGAGAGGGUGACCGGCCACAUUGGGACUGAGAUACGGCCCAGACUCCUACGGGAGGCAGCAGUGGGGAAUAUUGCACAAUGGGCGGAAGCCUGAUGCAGCAACGCCGCGUGCGGGAUGACGGCCUUCGGGUUGUAAACCGCUUUCGCCUGUGACGAAGCGUGAGUGACGGUAAUGGGUAAAGAAGCACCGGCUAACUACGUG
rnacentral:rRNA from 1 species